rnacentral:tRNA from 1 species
GUAGUGGUGAUUCGUGGUAGAAUUCUCUCCUUCCACGUGGGAGACCCGGGUUUGAUUCCCGGCCUGUGUA